rnacentral:rRNA from 1 species
AGCUCCAAUAGCGUAUAUUAAAGUUGUUGCAGUUAAAAAGCUCGUAGUUGGAUUUGUGGCAGUCGCCUGCGUCCCGGCACUUUUGUGUUUGUGGUUUGCGUGUGACGCCAUCCUUGGGUGGAUCCUGUGUGGCAUUAGGUUGUCGUGCAGGGGAUGCCCAUCGUUUACUGUGAAAAAAUUAGAGUGUUCAAAGCAGGCUUAUGCCGUUGAAUAUAUUAGCAUGGAAUAAUGAGAUAGGACCUUGGUACUAUUUUGUUGGUUUGCGCACCGAGGUAAUGAUUAAUAGGGACAGUUGGGGGUAUUCGUAUUCCAUUGUCAGAGGUGAAAUUCUUGGAUUUCUGGAAGACGAACUACUGCGAAAGCAUUUACCAAGGAUGUUUUCAUUAAUCAAGAACGAAAG